rnacentral:rRNA from 1 species
UACAGAGGUCUCAAGCGUUGUUCGGAUUCAUUGGGCGUAAAGCGCGCGCAGGCGGCUCUCUAAGUCCAUGGGUAAAAGGCCGGGGCUCAACCCCGUGUACGCCCAGGAUACUGGGGAGCUGGAGACACGUAGAGGCAAGCGGAAUUCCGGGUGUAGCGGUGGAAUGCGUAGAGAUCCGGAAGAACAUCGGUGGCGAAGGCGGUCUGCUGGGCCGUUGCUGACGCUGAGGCGCGACAGCGUGGGGGAGCAAACAGG